AGCAGCAGCCACGGGAAUACGUAGGUGGCAAGCGUUGUCCGGAAUUAUUGGGCGUAAAGCGCGCGCAGGUGGUUUAAUAAGUCUGAUGUGAAAGCCCACGGCUCAACCGUGGAGGGUCAUUGGAAACUGUUAAACUUGAGUGCAGGAGAGAAAAGUGGAAUUCCUAGUGUAGCGGUGAAAUGCGUAGAGAUUAGGAGGAACACCAGUGGCGAAGGCGGCUUUUUGGCCUGUAACUGACACUGAGGCGCGAAAGCAUGGGGAGCAACCAGGAUUAGAUACCCCCGUAGUCCCUGUCUCUUAUAC
rnacentral:rRNA from 1 species